AUGGCGUCGCAGUUUCUUUAGUGAACUGCGGCGUGAAUGCGAGUUCCAAGUGGGCCAUUUUUGGUAAGCAGAACUGGCGCUGUGGGAUGAACCAAACGUGGAGUUAAGGUGCCUAACUUCUCGCUUAUGAGACCCCAUAAAAGGUGUUGGUUGAUAUUGACAGCAGGACGGUGGCCAUGGAAGUCGGUACCCGCUAAGGAGUGUGUAACAACUCACCUGCCGAAUCAACUAGCCCUGAAAAUGGAUGGCGCUUAAGCGAGAGACCUAUACUCCGCCGUCGCGGCAUGUGCGUUGUCUAGCGCCAGGUCGCGACGAGUAGGAAGGACGUGGCGGUUGCGUUGAAGGCUAUGAGCGUAGGCUCGGCUGGAGCUUCCGUCAGUGCAGAUCGUAAUGGUAGUAGCAAAUAUUCAAGUUCGAUCCUUGAAGACUGAAGUGGAGAAGGGUUCCACGUGAACAGUAGUUGGAUGUGGGUCAGUCGAUCGUAAGGUACUGGCGAAAGCCUUGUAUCAUCGGUGGCGAAAAGCUUGCUUUUUGUCCCCGCCCGUCGAAAGGGAAUAGGGUUAAUAUUCCCUAACUGAGAUGCAAAGAUUGUGUUCUUCGGAGCACAAGCGCGGUAACGCGUUCGAACUUGGUAAGUCGCUCAGAGACCGAGCUAGAGUUUUCUUCUCUAGUUAAGGAACGGACUCCCUGGAAUUGGUUCAGCCAGAGAUGGGGACGUUGUUUCCGAAAAGCACCGCGGUUUCUGUGGUGUCUCGUGCUCUCUGAACGGCCCUUUAAACACCAAGGGAGGCUAUUAAUUUGCACUCAAUCGUACCGAUAUCCGCAUUAGGUCUCCAAGGUGAACAGCCUCUAGUCGAUAGAAUAAUGUAGGUAAGGGAAGUCGGCAAACUAGAUCCGUAACUUCGGGAAAAGGAUUGGCUCCAGUGGUCGGAACGGUUGGCCAGUUGGUUGAUGCUUGUCCGGCGCUGUUCUGUCUGCUUGAUGCUUUCGGGCUGAUGGCGGCCUAGUGAUAGUGCUUGCUUGUUGACGCUUUCUGGUGUGUGCUUUGACCUCGGUCUUAGUAUCCUGAUCGUUCAUCUAAACGACUAAACUGGAACCGGUACGGACUCAGGGAAUCCGACUGUCUAAUU
rnacentral:ncRNA from 1 species